rnacentral:rRNA from 1 species
CUGCUGCCUUCCGUAGGAGUUUGGGCCGUGUCUCAGUCCCAAUGUGGCCGUUCACCCUCUCAGGCCGGCUACUGAUCGUUGCCUUGGUAGGCCAUUACCCCACCAACUAGCUAAUCAGACGCGGAACCAUCGUAUACCACCAGAGUUUUUCACACCGCUUCAUGCGAAGCUGUGCGCUUAUGCGGUAUUAGCACCUAUUUCUAAGUGUUAUCCCCCAGUAUACGGCAGGUUUUCCACGCGUUACUCACCCGUCCG